rnacentral:rRNA from 1 species
AUUGAACGCUGGCGGAAUGCUUUACACAUGCAAGUCGAACGGCAGCACGGACUUCGGUCUGGUGGCGAGUGGCGAACGGGUGAGUAAUGUAUCGGAACGUGCCCAGUCGUGGGGGAUAACGUAGUGAAAAUUACGCUAAUACCGCAUACGAUCUAUGGAUGAAAGCGGGGGAUCGCAAGACCUCGCGCUAUUGGAGCGGCCGAUAUCAGAUGAGGUAGUUGGUGGGGUAAAGGCCCACCAAGCCAACGAUCUGUAGCUGGUCUGAAAGGACUACCAGCCACCAUGGAACGUAGACCCGGCCCAGACUCCUACGGGAAGCAACAGUGGGGAAGUUUUGACAAUGGGCGAAAGCCUGAUUCAGCCAUUCCGCGUGCAGGAUGAAGGCCCUCGGGUUUUAAACUGCUUUUGUACAGAACGAAAAGGUUUCUACUAAUACUAGGAGCUCAUGACGGUACUGUAAGAAUAAGCACCGGCUAACUACGUGCCAGCCGCCGCGGUAA